rnacentral:rRNA from 1 species
AGUGAACGCUGGCGGUAGGCCUAACACAUGCAAGUCGAACGGCAGCACAGUAAGAGCUUGCUCUUACGGGUGGCGAGUGGCGGGCGGGUGAGGAAUACAUCGGAAUCUACUUUUUCGUGGGGGAUAACGUAGGGAAACUUACGCUAAUACCGCAUACGACCUACGGGUGGAAGCAGGGGAUCUUCGGACCUUGCGCGAUUGAAUGAGCCGAUGUCGGAUUAGCUAGUUGGCGGGGUAAAGGCCCACCAAGGCGACGAUCCGUAGCUGGUCUGAGAGGAUGAUCAGCCACACUGGAACUGAGACACGGUCCAGACUCCUACGGGAGGCAGCAGUGGGGAAUAUUGGACAAUGGGCGCAAGCCUGAUCCAGCCAUACCGCGUGGGUGAAGAAGGCCUUCGGGUUGUAAAGCCCUUUUGUUGGGAAAGAAAAGCAGCAGGUUAAUACCCCGCUGUUCUGACGGUACCCAAAGAAUAAGCACCGGCUAACUUCGUG